rnacentral:sRNA from 1 species
UUUCUUCUUCUUCUGCUUUUAAAAACUUGAGUUUCUUCUU